rnacentral:rRNA from 2 species
AUUUGAAAUCUGGCGCAAGCCCGAGUUGUAAUUUGUAGAGGAUGCUUCUGGGCAGCGGCCGUUCUAAGUUCCUUGGAACAGGACGUCAUAGAGGGUGAGAAUCCCGUAUGUGACCGGCACGUACCCUCCACGUAGCUCCUUCGACGAGUCGAGUUGUUUGGGAAUGCAGCUCUAAAUGGGAGGUAAAUUUCUUCUAAAGCUAAAUACCGGCCAGAGACCGAUAGCGCACAAGUAGAGUGAUCGAAAGAUGAAAAGCACUUUGGAAAGAGAGUUAAAAAGCACGUGAAAUUGUUGAAAGGGAAGCGCUUACAACCAGACUUCGUGGCGGUGUUCCGCCGGUCUUCUGACCGGUCUACUCGCCGCCGCGAGGCCAGCAUCGUCUGGGGCCGCCGGAUAAGACCUUGGGAAUGUAGCUUGCCUCGGUAAGUGUUAUAGCCCAUGGUGAUGCGGCGUGCCUCGGGCGAG